rnacentral:rRNA from 2 species
GAGUUUGAUCGUGGCUCAGAUUGAACGCUGGCGGCGUGCCUAAUACAUGCAAGUCGAGCGGUAACACUUCGGGUGACGAGCGGCGGACGGCAGAGUAACACGUAGGAACGUACCCCAAACUGAGGGAUAAGCACCGGAAACGGUGUCUAAUACCGCAUGUGAUCUUCGGAUUAAAGCUUCGGCGGUUUGGGAACGGCCUGCGCAUGAUUAGCUUGUUGGUGAGGUAAAAGCUCACCAAGGCGACGAUCAUUAGCUGGUCUGAGAGGAUGAUCAGCCUGACUGGGACUGAGAACGGCCCAGACUCCUACGGGAGGCAGCAGUAGGGAAUUUUCCACAAUGGGGGCAACCCUGAUGGAGCAACGCCGCGUGCAGGAUGAAGGCUUUCGGGUCGUAAACUGCUUUUCUCUGUGACGAAUAUGACGGUAGCAGAGGAAUAAGGAUCGGCUAACUCCGUGCCAGCCGCCGCGGU